rnacentral:rRNA from 1 species
UACAGAGGUCCCAAGCGUUGUUCGGAUUCACUGGGCGUAAAGGGUGCGUAGGUGGUCGGGUAAGUCUGAUGUGAAAUCUCCGAGCUUAACUCGGAACGGUCAACUGAUACUGCUCGGCUAGAGUGCGGAAGGGGCAACUGGAAUUCUUGGUGUAGCGGUGAAAUGCGUAGAUAUCAAGAGGAACACCUGCGGCGAAGGCGGGUUGCUGGGCCGACACUGACGCUGAGGCGCGAAAGCUAGGGGAGCGAACGGG